GACGAACGCUGGCGGCGUGCUUAACACAUGCAAGUCGAACGGAAAGGCCCUGCUUUUGUGGGGUGCUCGAGUGGCGAACGGGUGAGUAACACGUGAGUAACCUGCCCUUGACUUUGGGAUAACUUCAGGAAACUGGGGCUAAUACCGGAUAGGAGCUCCUGCUGCAUGGUGGUGGUUGGAAAGUUUCGGCGGUUGGGGAUGGACUCGCGGCUUAUCAGCUUGUUGGUGGGGUAGUGGCUUACCAAGGCUUUGACGGGUAGCCGGCCUGAGAGGGUGACCGGCCACAUUGGGACUGAGAGACGGACCAGACGCCUAUGGGAGGCAGCAGUGGGGAAUAUUGCACAAUGGGGGGAAGCCUGAGGCAGCAACGCUGCGUGCGGGAUGCCCGCCUUCGGGUGGUAAACCGCUUUCGACUGUGACGAAGCGUGAGUGACGGUAAUGGGUAAAGAAGCACCGGCUAACUACGUG
rnacentral:rRNA from 1 species